rnacentral:lncRNA from 1 species
GAGAUCAGGGAGAUCCCGGGAGAUCUGAGAGAUCUAGGAGACCUAGGAGAUCUGGGAGACCUGAGAGACCUGGGAGAUCAGGGCGAACUGGGAGAUCCAAGAGACUGGGAGAUCCAAGAGAUUUGGGAGACCCCGAGAGAUCUAGGAGACCUGGGAGACCCCGGAGAUCCGGGAGACCCGGGAGGCCUGCGGACGUGCGGAGUCAGGCGGUCCGUCCCGUCCCCGCGGGCCGUGCCCGGCAUCCCCCGGCAUCCCCCGGCAUCCCCCGGCAUCCCCGGAGGCCGCAGGGACGAGCCAGGGCCCGCCGCCUUCGAGGACGACUCCACGGCGCGGCUCCCCGGCCCCUCGGCAGCCGUGCUCCGACGGAGAGCAGAGCGGAGGGAGGCCCGGACCGGAGCCGGCUCCAGUCCCCCAGGCCCCGCUCGGUCAGACGAGGGCGGGGGCUGCGGGGCGCGCGUGGCGGACCCCGGCCGGGGAGGGGGGGCGGGGGCGGGGGCGGCGGGGGCGCGCCCCGCGGGCAGGUGCCUGACCCCUCCCGCAGCUGUCGGCGCUCCGGGGCCCAGGCUACCUCUCAGGAGGCUGACGCCCCGCCGGGUCCCGUCCUGCCGCACGGGCCGAAAGGCAGGUCUCCGAAGCCGCGGCGGAGUCACCGGGACAGUGACCCGGUCGAGCGCGGGUCAGGGCGCCGGAAGCCACGGGGCCACCCCUCGCCGGCCCUCCCCGGCCUCCGCGGCCGCCCGCCCUCCCGCCGCGCCCACCAACGGCGUGCGUGCGGCGGCCCAUGCGGCACCGCGCGCCCUCGCCAGGCCCCGCGCGCGGCACCACGGGACUCGUAGUUCCGGCGCGAGGCUCGCGCGGCGCUCGCUCCACCGGCCGGCGACCGCGGCGUCCCGGCGCCGACCCCGCCCCGGAAGUGGCGUCACAGCACGCGCGCGGCGCGGCCGGCCGCUUCCGCAAACAGAGCCGUGGCCGCCUGCGUGGGUGAGUGAGUGCGGCGCCCGGCGCUACGGCCGCUCUUUGUUUCCAGCCGCCCCGCGGCCGCCGCGGCCCCGGGGCCCCUCACUCUCGCUACGGGCCUCGCACGCGGACGGGGCGGGCCGGGGCGGGCGGGGGGCGGCGGGGCCCGGGGGCGGCGGCGGGCGGCGGGGGGGAGGGGCGGCGCAGGUGCAGCCCCGCGAGGCCGGGCCCGUGACCUCGGGGUGCUCCGGGCGGCCGUCCGCUCGGCCCAACGGGGUCGCCCUGGGCCGCGGGGCGUCGCGGAGCCCGGGCCGCUCGGGUCGCUGCGGCCGCGGCUCCCGGAGACGGCGCCUCCGCCUCGCGCGCUCCUCCGACCCCGCUCUCCCCGGCUGGUGGCGUCGCCCUCGCCGCCUGCGCCCGGGCCCGCAGCUGCGAUCCCCGGGGCCCCCCGCUGCCCGCCGCUUCCCGCCCGGAGCCCCGUAA